CCUACGGGAGGCUGCAGUGAGGAAUAUUGGUCAAUGGGCGCGAGCCUGAACCAGCCAAGUCGCGUGAGGGAGGACGGCCCUACGGGUUGUAAACCUCUUUUGCCGGGGAGCAACGGGCGCCACGUGUGCCGUCACUGAGAGUACCCGGCGAAAAAGCAUCGGCUAACUCCGUGCCAGCAGCCGCGGUCAUACGGAGGAUGCGAGCGUUAUACGGAUUUCUUGGGUUUAAAGGGUGCGUAGUCGGAACGUUAAGUCAGUGGUCAAAUUGAGGGGCUCAACCCCUUCCCGCCAUUGAAACUGGCGUUCUUGAGUGGAAGAGAAGUAUGCGGAAUGCGUGGUGUAGCGGUGAAAUGCAUAGAUAGCACGAAGAACUCCGAUUGCGAAGGCAGCUUACUAAACUGCCACUGACAUUGAUGCUCGAAAGUGUGGGUAUCAAACAGGAUUAGAGACCCCAGUAGUC
rnacentral:rRNA from 1 species